rnacentral:rRNA from 1 species
GACGUAGGGGGCAAGCGUUGUUCGGAGUUAUUGGGCGUAAAGGGUGCGUAGGCGGUCGGGUAAGUCUGAUGUGAAAUCUCACAGCUUAACUGUGAAACUGCAUUGGAUACUAUCCGGCUAGAGGAAUGGAGGGGAGACUGGAAUACUUGGUGUAGCAGUGAAAUGCGUAGAUAUCAAGUGGAACACCAGUGGCGAAGGCGAGUCUCUGGACAUUUCCUGACGCUGAGGCACGAAAGCCAGGGGAGCAAACGGG